rnacentral:rRNA from 1 species
GAGUUUGAUUCUGGCUCAGGAUGAACGCUGGCGGCAUGCCUAACACAUGCAAGUUGAACGAGAAGUUCUGGAGGGAGUCUUCGGACGAACGAAGGAAUGGAAAGUAGCGAACGGGUGAGUAACGCGUGGGCAACCAACCUUACACAGGGGGAUAACGCAGAGAAAUUUGCGCUAAUACCGCAUAAGCGCACAGUACCGCAUGGUACGGUGUGAAAAACUCCGGUGGUGUAAGACGGGCCCGCGUCUGAUUAGUUAGUUGGUGAGGUAAAAGCUCGCCAAGGCGACGAUCAGUAGCCGACCUGAGAGGGUGAUCGGCCACAUUGGGACUGAGACACGGCCCAAACUCCUACGGGAGGCAGCAGUGGGGGAUAUUGCACAAUGGAGGGAACUCUGAUGCAGCAAUGCCGCGUGAAGGAAGACGGUUUUCGGAUUGUAAACUUCUAUCAGCAGGGAAGAAA